GUUUCUGCCUCUCCUCCACGUUUCCAUCUUUCUGUUGGUUCAUCAUUUGCUGCAGAGGAACGCACAUGUUUGAUGUCAUCCUCCAGAAGCCUCUUGUCAGCCUGAAGGCCGCCAUUUUUCUCUGACAGCGCAGACAGCGAGUGAUGCAGUGGGUUGAUGUCCGACUGGAGCUUUUUCACCUGACAAGACAGAAAUGACAAUAAGUCCAUCUGCUGUUGCUGCUGCUGCUGCUGACGGCUACUGGUGGCCAUUUCAUCCAUCUGCUGGUGCAAGAGAGCGUUCUGCUUGCCCAGCUCCUCAGCGCGACGACUCUGAUUGGACAGGUCCUCCUAAAGAAGAGUCCAAGACUGAUUAGAAACACAGCAUUGGAGUUCUUCACAAAAUGGCUACACAAUGUGGUGUAACGGGACCAAAGGGAUGUUGCACUCUUCUCCUGCAGAGCCUCCACAUCAGCAGCAUGAAGCAUGAGCUCCCGCUCAUACUUGGCCUGCGCCUCUCCAGCCAGCUUGGUCUGAAAGGAGGACAGCGAUCAGCUGAGCAGACUCUCCUGAGUGGCCUUCUGCUCCUUUGUGAGAGAAGCAGCCGCUCUCUCCAGUGCAUCCUGCUGUUCAGUCUGACUGGACUUCAGCUGACGCUGCACCUCAUACACCUGGAAAAGACAGAGGGGAGAAGAAGGACACAUAUUCAAAGAUGUACACUAUAGGGCUGAACAAUUAUGGGCCUCCCUCGCCUUCCUCCUCUCCUCCUGCUCCUGCUGCCCCAUUUUCUCCACCUCCACAAUCC